UGAGGAAUAUUGGUCAAUGGACGAGAGUCUGAACCAGCCAAGUAGCGUGCAGGAUGACGGCCCUCCGGGUUGUAAACUGCUUUUAGUUGGGAAUAAAAAGAUGACGUGUCAUCUAUUGUAUGUACCAUCAGAAAAAGGACCGGCUAAUUCCGUGCCAGCAGCCGCGGUAAUACGGAAGGUCCAGGCGUUAUCCGGAUUUAUUGGGUUUAAAGGGAGCGUAGGCGGAGAGAUAAGUCAGCGGUAAAAUCGUGCGGCUCAACCGUACCUCGCCGUUGGUACUGUUUUUCUUGAGUGCACACAAGGAAGGUGGAAUUCGUCGUGUAGCGGUGAAAUGCUUAGAUAUGACGAAGAACUCCGAUUGCGAAGGCAGCCUUCUGGGGUGUUACUGACGCUGAGGCUCGAAAGUGCGGGAAUCAAACAGGAUUAGAUACCCUGGUAGU
rnacentral:rRNA from 1 species